GAUGAACGCUGGCGGCGUGCCUAAUACAUGCAAGUCGAGCGAACAGACGAGGAGCUUGCUCCUCUGACGUUAGCGGCGGACGGGUGAGUAACACGUGGAUAACCUACCUAUAAGACUGGGAUAACUUCGGGAAACCGGAGCUAAUACCGGAUAAUAUAUUGAACCGCAUGGUUCAAUAGUGAAAGACGGUUUUGCUGUCACUUAUAGAUGGAUCCGCGCCGCAUUAGCUAGUUGGUAAGGUAACGGCUUACCAAGGCAACGAUGCGUAGCCGACCUGAGAGGGUGAUCGGCCACACUGGAACUGGGACACGGUCCAGACUCCUACGGGAGGCAGCGGUAGGGAAUCUUCCGCAAUGGGCGAAAGCCUGACGGAGCAACGCCGCGUGAGUGAUGAAGGUCUUCGGAUCGUAAAACUCUGUUAUUAGGGAAGAACAAAUGUGUAAGUAACUAUGCACGUCUUGACGGUACCUAAUCAGAAAGCCACGGCUAACUACGUG
rnacentral:rRNA from 1 species